rnacentral:lncRNA from 1 species
UUCGUGCAGCGAGGGAGAUCGGCUGAGGCGCGACGACGGUGGCGCGAGCGGGAGAAAUGCCGGCGGAAGCGUUGACCCUGCUGCUGCUGCGCCGGCGAGAAUCAGGGAAAGCGUGGUGGGGAAGAUGAACAGGAACAGGAGCACCCUUUUUUCUUCUUAUUUUUCCUGUUUUUUCUUGUUGAUCGACGUCCCUCACGUCAAUCUCCC